UGGGGAAUAUUGGACAAUGGGCGAAAGCCUGAUCCAGCCAUGCCGCGUGUGUGAAGAAGGUCUUCGGAUUGUAAAGCACUUUAAGUUGGGAGGAAGGGCAGUAAGCGAAUACCUUGCUGUUUUGACGUUACCGACCGAAUAAGCACCGGCUAACUCUGUGCCAGCAGCCGCGGUAAUACAGAGGGUGCAAGCGUUAAUCGGAAUUACUGGUCGUAAAGCGCGCGUAGGUGGUUCGUUAAGUUGGAUGUGAAAGCCCCGGGCUCAACCUUGGAACUGCAUCGAAAACUGGCGAGCUAGAGUAGGGCAGAGGGUGGUGGAAUUUCCUGGGUAGCGGUGAAAUGCGUAGAUAUAGGAAGGAACACCAGUGGCGAAGGCGACCACCUGGGCUCAUACUGACACUGAGGUGCGAAAGCGUGGGGAGCAAACAGG
rnacentral:rRNA from 1 species